UUUUAUUUUACCCUCAAAAUGAGGUUACUCCAAAAUAGCCAAAAGAAUAGGAAUUCAGGAAGCACAUGCUACGUCAAACCAUAGGCAAAUACCACAAGCAAAGGAGGGGAGCUGCUUUUAUAGAGAAAAAGGGGGAGAGGGAGGGGCUGUUCUAAAGGAAAGUCCACUGGGGGAGAGGAACAGUGCAGGGUGGGAAUGGCUUCUCAUUGGCUGAGCUGUGGCAUUUCUCAUUGGCUGAGCUGCAGUGUUUCUCAUGGGCUGAGCUGUGGCGUUUCCCAUUGGCUGAGCUGUGGCGUUUCCCAUUGGCUGAGCUGUGGUGUUUCUUAUUGGCUGAGCUGAGGCGUUUCUCAUUGGCUGAGCUGUGGUGUUUCUCAUUGGCUGAGCUGCAGUGUUUCUCAUUGGCUGGACUGUUGCCUGGUGGAGAGAGAAAUCUUCCGUCAGUAGUAAAGUAGUGGUAGUUCCUGUGGGAGAUGCAAGUGCCCAUCUCUUCCUGGUUGGUGUGAUUGACAUGUGUGAUGGGGUGAGAGCUCCCCUACAAGUCUCCGUGACUCUAGUUUAGUUGAGGUUUGUCUUAUUUCACAAGAGUUUCUGUUUGGAGUGAAGAGACAGUUUUGGAAAUAGUGGUGAUGGUUGCAUAACACGUGAAUGUACUUAAUGCCACUGAACUCUAUGCUUAAAAAUGGUUAUAUGACAACUUAUACAUUGUAUAUAUUUUACCACAGUUUAAAAAGUGAGCAGAAUGUGUCCACCACAGACAUGCACAGUAGGAAAUGUUAAAGGAAAUUCUUCAGGUUGAAGGGAAAUAAUAUAACAUGGAAACAGAUCUACAUGAAGAAAGAGGACAGGAAAUGGGAAAAUCCUGUAACCAGCACCAUGUGAAUGAGCCAGGGCUGGCCUGCUGGAGGACGGACAUCACACGCCCAGCUAAUACCACUGACCAUCCUGACAGCCAGCCAUCUACCAAACACGUGAGGCCAAAAAUUGCCAGCUAACCACAAAGUCAAUGAACCCAAGUGAUACCACACGGAGCAGAGAUGAACCAUCUCGGCUGCUCCCAGCCUGAAUGUCAUAAUUUAGGGCAAGUCACAUAAUUAUGAGAAAAUCAAUGGAUGUUGUUUAUGCCACUAAGUUUUCGGGUGAUUCCCUUUUUUUUUUCAAGUGUUUUUUUUUUUUUUUUCCUGAGGAAGAUUCGCUCUGAGCUAACACCUGUGGCCAAUCUUCCUCUUUUUGGUUGAGGAAUAUUCACCCUGAGCUAACAUCUUGCCAGUCUUCCUCUAUUUCAUAUGUGGGUCACCGGCACAGAAUGGCUGCUGACAAGUGGUGUAGUUCUGAGUCCAGGAACUGAACCUGGGCCGCCAAAGCAGAGGGUGCCAAACUUAACCAGUAGGCCACGGGGCUGGCCUCUAGGGUGACUUCUUACACUGCACAAACUGGCGGCUGCAUGGGUCUAGCACUGAGCCUGUUGUCUUCUGUGCUAGACGAGCUCUCUGCUCCUAGACUCCAGUCGCCAGGUGGCGGAGAGGAGAGCCGAGCCACUUGCUGAGAGGAGGCAGGGACUGUGGCUUUGUCUCCUGGGGUUGUGAGACUAUAAAUGGGAUGUAAGUGCUGUCACAGUUAACUUGCUAAAACUGAUCUUGACAGUUACACUUAAAACUCUUCAACACUCAUCAAACUGGCAAAGAUGAAAACAAUCCGCCUUCAGCACUGGCGAGGGGGGAGCAGAGGCUCCCUGACACUCUUCACUCUGAUGCUGGCAGAGCCUUUCUGAAGGGCAAUUUACAACACGUGCCAAGACCUUAAAUACCUUUUUUUUUUUUUGAAAGAGAUUAGCCCUGAGCUAACAUCUGCUGCCAAUCCUCCUCUUUUUGCUGAGGAAGGCUGGCCCUGAGCUAACAUCCAUGCCCAUCUUCCUCUACUUUAUACUUGGGACGCCUACCACAGCAUGGCUUUUGCCAAGCGGUGCCAUGUCCACACCCGGGAUCUGAACUGGCGAACCCCGGGCCACCGAAACAGAACAUGCGAACUUAACUGCUACGCCACCGGGCCGGCCCAUUGAAUACCUUUUGAGCAAUUUCACUUUUAGGAAUCCCCCAAAGGAAAUAACAAACCACAUGCAAGAACUUAUGAACAAAAAAUAUUGAGCACUGCGUUCUUUAUGAAUACCAGACAAAAAUGUUUAGCAUGUCUAUAGCCAUUUCCCGAAUGCCAGGCCUUGUUCUAGUGUUAACACAUAUGGACACAUUGAAGCCUCAUAACAGCCCUCUCAGGCGUCAUUUCCAUCUCAGGGGUGAGCAAAUGAGUGCACAGUGAGUCAAUCUCUCCUCUCAAAUCUGGCAGGACAGCCACACCCUCCCGAGACUCCUGCACAUCCUGGACCGUCUACUCCCUGGCCAUCUCUCCUCCAGUGGUCUCGUCUUGCUAACUGCCUGCUAUCCCUACCAUCUCUGUCUGUCUUCCUUCUCCCACAGCCUGCCCACAUGCAGGUCUGGGGUGGUAGAAAGGAUUUCCAUUACAGACAUUCCACAAACAAAAGAACCGGGUGUCAGACAUCCCAGCCGUGGGAAGUCCACUGAGAUGGGCUUCUCCUCUUCCUCACUGGGAGGCUUUCUCUCACCCUACCCACCCUGCUCUCCCCCACCUAGCUUCCAGCUCUUUUCCUAUGCAGAGGGUUUCUCUCUAUGUAGCCUGAGCAGCUUCCUCCUUCCUGAACUGCAAGCUGUGCCUCCCGACCACCCCACCCAGGUAAGCCCUGGGCCUUGCCACACCCCACUUCUCUCCAGCCCUACCACCUAAGGCUACGCAAGUGCACCAGCCUCUCUGAAGGGGGUGGAGGAGUAACUAAAAGGAAUGCAACGUAGCCACACCAAACACACUUAUCAGAGGGACAUGCACAAAAUGUCAAAUCCCACCUGGGUAUUAUCUGCCCCCCUGUCUCUAUGCCCUGCAAAGGUAUCUGCCUCCCUGCUCCACCGACCCAGCCUGCACCCACUCUUGGGGGAAUUUCCCCCUCCUGCCAUCUCCUUCCCUCUAGAAGGUCUACACAGGAGUCAGGUGACCUGACUCACCAGGCCCUCAGGUGGGCACAGGUGGUUGGCAGGCUGGGACCAUUACCUAACCAUGGAUGCCCCCCUCACCUUUUAUCCUGGAGGAGGGCAAACAGGAAGUGACUGGGGAACAGAACUACCCUCGAGGACCCUGUGGGUCCCCCCUUCACCCCAGCAUCACACACACACCCUGACCCUCACUUGCAGAGCGUGACCCUCAGACUCUCUGAGCCAGAUCCUGUUGGAAGAAAAGUUUAUGAGUCUACUGUUUC
rnacentral:lncRNA from 1 species